AAUUAAAAGAGUUUGAUCCUGGCUCAGAAUGAACGUUUAUAGUUGGCUUAACACAUGCAAAUUAAAUAAAUUUGUUUUAUUACAAAUUAAUAGUGAACGGGUGAGUAACGUAUAGAAAUUAACCUCAAGAAAUUGCUUAACACAUGCAAAAAAUGUUUGUCUUGAGAAAAGUCUAUAUAAGAUUAGGUUGUUGGUUAAUUAAAAACUUAUCAAGCCUACGAUCUUUAGUUGGUCUUUGAGGAUGAACAACCACAUUGGAACUGAGAACGGUCCAAACUUCAUUUGAAGGCAGCAGUGGGGAAUUUUGGGCAAUGAGCGGAAGCUUGACCCAGCUAAACUAUGUGAGUGAUGAAAAUGUAUAAUUGUAAAGCUCUUUACUAAACAAAAUACUGAUUUGUUUAAGAAAAGUCCUGGCUAAUUCCGUGCCAGCAGCCGCGGUAAAACGGGAAGGGCAAACGUUACUCGGAUUAAUUGGGCGUAAAGCAUAUGUAGGUGGAAAAUUAAGUUCCGAUUCAAAUUUUAAAUUUUAUUUUUAAAAAGAUCGUUAAACUGAUUUUCUAGAGUUCAGAAGAAGGUUAUGGAACUUUAAAUGUAACAGUAAAAUGUGUUGAUAUUUAAAAGAACCUCAAUGGCGAAGGCAAUAAUCUAGGCUGACACUGACACUGAGAUAUUAAAGCGUGGGUAGCAAAAGGGAUUAGAUACCCCUGUAGUCCACGCCCUGAACGAUGAGUGCUAACUUUUGAAUUAAUUUUCAAAAGUAAAACUAACGUGUUUAGCACUCCGCCUGGGGACUACGAUCGCAAGAUUAAAACUCAAAGGAAUUGACGGGGACCUACACAAGCAGUGGAGCAUGUGGUUUAAAUCGAUAAUACGCGCGAAAUCUUACCAAUUUUUGAAUAACAUUAGUUACAGGUGUUGCAUGGCUGUCGUCAGUCCGUGCUGUGAAGCGUUUGGUUUAUUCCAAUAAACGGACGAAACUCUUGUAAGUUACAAAACUUAAACUGUUAAGGACAUCUUAAAGGAAGGCGAGAACGACGUCAAGUCCUCAUGACCCUAAUAAAUUGGGCUACUUUCAUGUGCUACAAUAGUUUUUUCAAAAAGUAGCGAAAAUGUAAGUUUUAGCAAAACUUAAAAUAAAACUAUACUCGAAUUGUUUUCUGAAACUCGAAAACAUGAAGUUGGAAUUGCUAGUAAUCGUAAAUAAGAAUGUUACGGUGAAUACGUUCUUAGGUCUUGUACACACCGCCCGUCACGCUAUGGAAAUUUAUUUUAUUUGAAGAUUACAAAGUAAUUUAUGGUAAAAUAAAAGACUGAAGUGAAGUCGUAACAAGGUAGCCGUAGGGGAACCUGCGGCUGGAAAAUUUAAAAU
rnacentral:rRNA from 1 species